GACGAACGCUGGCGGCGUGCUUAACACAUGCAAGUCGAACGGAAAGGCCUGCUUUCCCUUGUGGAUUGCGGGUACUCGAGUGGCGAACGGGUGAGUAACACGUGAGUGAUCUGCCCCCAACUUGGGUAUAAGCCUGGGAAACUGGGUCUAAUUCCCGAUAGGACUGCAGGGUGGUGCCUGUGGUGGAAAACGAUUUUCUAGUGGUUGGGGAUGAGCUCGCGGCCUAUCAGCUUGUUGGUGGGGUAAUGGCCUACCAAGGCGGCGACGGGUAGCCGGCCUGAGAGGGUGGACGGACACAUUGGGACUGAGAUACGGCCCAGACUCCUACGGGAGGCAGCAGUGGGGAAUAUUGCACAAUGGGCGGAAGCCUGAUGCAGCGACGCCGCGUGGGGGAUGACGGCCUUCGGGUUGUAAACUCCUUUCGACCGCGAGGAAGCCACCUGGUUGGAAGGGUGGUGACGGUAGUGGUAGAAGAAGCACCGGCUAACUACGU
rnacentral:rRNA from 1 species